UCCCGUCAGUCGCUAUUCACCCGUUGACCCAAUCGGUUCAACCAAUAAUAAUUUUUGUUAGACAUGGGGAACAUAGUCAUAAAGAGCCUAGCUCCACUUCUUGGACACUUUGCAAACUAAUUUUACUGCUAAAAAGACCUUCUUUAAAACCUUUUAAUACAAUGACAUAUAGACUGUGAAGAAACAUAGUUCUUUAAUCUUUUUAAUUAAUGACUUCCAACACUUGACUCCUACAUGUAAAAUAACUAGAAGAGUGACAAUGACUACCGUCACCCAAAGAACAUUGUCUCCACAAAUUGUAAAUUGUGAAUUCGACUGCAUCUUGGUCCGCUUACUUUUAUAAAAAAAAGUUUUAAGCAUCGUGUAAGCGAAAGACGGGAUCACAUGCGUGCCCCCUGAAAGGAUGUUGGCUCAAUAAAAAAAGAUAAUCUCCGUACGUUACUUUUCUUCAAAGCAGGAUGGUCGAUAAAUCAUAAUCCCUGGUAACAGUUGAUUUUCUUCAUUCCUUUUCACAGUUUCAACGAGUGCAAGUUAUAACGAGGGAUGUAAAUGUGUGAUCUGAGAUCCUUGGAUAUGUGACGAGAAAAAAAAUUGCUACAAAUUAAGCAAUGUAGAAUAAAUUGAAGGAUUUUUAGCAAAUUGCUAAAAGAUUUCCCACCCGAAAAAUGAUUUGAGUAGUUUUUGUGCCAAUUCUUUACAAGUGCCGAAUGCAAACAAUACUUGGGUAACAUUAAGAGUAUGUUGCAACGCUUCCAAGUACCUCGCCUUACAUCAUGGUCAGAUAUAGUGAUAAUUAAUAUUCGAAUAUGCAAAAAAAUGGUUUAAUAAUUGUAUACGAUAUUAUAUCAUUAUUGUCUCUAUACCCUAACAUAGGAAUAAAACAAAACAAAACACAAAAAAAAAAAACAUGCUAUUUGCUUGAUGUUAUGUUUUUUUUUCUUCCCUUUCUUUUAGCAAUAAUAUAUUACAGCCUGUGGGCAGAGGGAUCACACCUUUCAAUAACAGAAAAUAGACCCGUUGUAUACGCGCGAAAACCUAACCGUUCUAAUUCAUUUGUAUUUUUUUGUUUUUUGUUUUUUUUUUUUUCUUCUUGCUCUAUAUUUUAGAUAUAGUAUAUAACAUAUAUGUUUAAAUUAAUUCUAUACUUUAGUAGUAGUAAUUAUAUUAUAUCAUGCACACCUCGUUUCUUUGCCACUGAUCAAUGGCUAGGUGUGUAGUUACUACUUAAAUAUUCUUUCUUGUUUUGAA